ensembl:lncRNA
GGGGUGGGAUUGGGGGUGGGAGGGAAAGGUUCAAGAGGGAGGGGAUAGAUAUAUAUACACGAUUCACUUUGUUGUAUAGCAGACACUAACACAACUUUGAAAGCAAUUACAAUUAGAAAUAAUAAUUAUAAAACUUUAAAUUUUAAAAAUUAAUAACUAAUUUUUAAAUUGCUUAAAGAAACUUAACUAUUGUAGCUGCUAUGUGCUUCCUGACCACCUCGGGACCUAUAGAUGCAUCCCAGAUACCCUUCCCUUUGUAAAUCUAAAAUAAGAAUUAAGUUGUAUAUAGCAGUACAUCCAUGAAGAAGAUACUGGUGAUUAGACUGACCGUAGCCACUUGCAACAAGUAUGCUCUGAUUCCAACAGCUAAGAGGCAGCAGCCUGCAAUGAAAACAGUUAGCCCUGAUUUUUAAACAAUGCCUUUAAAAAUGUUUCCUUCUGAAAUACAUUAUAAAUGGCAUCAGGAAUUUUCCAAACUGCCAUGAUCAAAAUACACGAUCUUAAAAUCAUAAUUCUCUACAACAUACCAAAAUCGUAGUCAGCCUAAAGAUUCUCAGAAAUUUUGAAUUCUGAAUGCCUUAAAAAAAAAUUCAAUUCAAAUAAAAUCAGACUAAGUACUUUGUUAUGAAAAUACAAUCUGAGAUUCUGUAUUUGAGGAACACUCUUACAAGCAUUUAGUAAGUUAUAAUUUAAAACUUCUACUCAAGUUCAAGUUGACAGUUAGGGACUAAAUAAAUAGAAACUAAAUUGAUGAAUAGUAUCUUUCUUACAGCUGUGGGCUCCAUUUGCUACUCUAAUCUCCAGCAGGGAAUAUUAGCUCAAUAAAACAAAUAUUUUUAAUUUCUUCUAUGCAUUUCCUCAAACCAUGCCAAUGCACUUAUCUAUGGCUCACUUAUCUAUGGCUCACUUAAAAAAUUUGUUAAGUACCCCCCUUCACUUACUUAAAAGAGGAUGUUUGAUGUCCUAACAACAAUGGAGUAAUGGGCAUGAGGGCAUAUUGUUUUCAGGCGCUGAGCCCUUAAUCACUUCCAGUUCUGAUUCAUCAGAAAAAUAGUGCUCUUGAGGGAUUUUUUUUUUUGGUCACAAAAUAUUGUCUUUAAUUUUGAGAUACUUACUUCUUGCCAGAAAAUGAUACUGUAUUUUUGUCCUAAUGAUGAAGGAUGAAAGAUGGGGAGAAUUCCAUUUGGUGAUUAUUGGACCACAAAGAAGUAAACUGAUUCAGAAAACAAAUCCCCAGAAGAAAAAUAAAACAUAUAAUGUGAGGUGGGAGCAUGGAAUUCUUGGCAUCUAUUCAAUUGGGGCCAGGAUUGGUAAUUUAAUAACAUCCUUGUUUUGUUAAUAUUUGGGGGUGGGGUAAAGCUCUAGGGCUUUAGCUUUGGGCCAGAUUCCUUCUACUCCCCACCAUUACCUCAACCAGCAACAGUGUUUAAAGACAUAAAUCCCAGGGGCCUCACAAAGGAUUGUUAAAUCACAGGCUGCGGGCAGGGGUUCAAGAUGCCAUCCUUCCCACGUAAGCCAAAGCGAGGAGGGAACCCUGAUCUCCUCAGUUCAGUGGGCAAUGGGAACGCGUCCAAAGAAAGCCCACUCUGACCACUGUCCCCAGAGGCCCUGAGCAUCACACCCGAAUCAGAGCAGAUGGGUGAUCUCAUGAAGAGAAACCUGCCAAUUGCCACAAUUCUGCCAAAACAUUCUGAUUCAUGGGGUAAUUGUGCCACUUUCCUUCAGACUGAUCCUUCUAGCUUCCCCUGCUGGUUACUGGGCAGAGUUUGGAAGGGAAAAAAAAAAAAAACAGCUUCGACUUUGGAAAUCCUGGCCACACCUGUGCACUCCAAAAAAAACAUACCUGAGUGAUGCGUGUGGUAAAGGAAUUCAAGUUGGUGCUUCAGUAAAUUCUGCCUUUUCCUGGGACCUGGAGGUCAUGGAGUGUGUCAUUUUUUUUUAGCUCUGGUUCUCUUUCAAGUUUAAAUGAGGGGAUAAAAUAGCACAGGAAAAAAAUGAAAAUAAAAAACAAAAACAUUCAAAUUGAAGAGGGUGACAGGUUUAAUCCAAACUCAGUCCCAAACACAGUUCUGAGUUGUCACUUUCUUCCAUGACCUUUUAAUUCCUAGAUUUAUGUAAUGUGUAGGAAUAAAACAAAUAUAAUUAUUAAAAGUCUUACCAAUGUUAUGAUCUCCAUGAUGGUAUAAGAGAAACAUUAAACAGGUAACACAAGUGUGAUAGACAGUGCUACUAGUGAUGGUGGCAAUGGUGACUGUGAUGACGGAGGUGGAGGGGUGAUGAUGGUGGUGGUGAUGGAGGUGGAGGGGCGAUGAUGGUGGUGGUGAUGGAGGUGGAGGAGUGAUGAUGGUGGUGGUGG